GACGAACGCUGGCGGCGUGCUUAACACAUGCAAGUCGAACGGAAAGGCCCUGCUUUUGUGGGGUGCUCGAGUGGCGAACGGGUGAGUAACACGUGAGUAACCUGCCCUUGACUUUGGGAUAACUUCAGGAAACUGGGGCUAAUACCGGAUAGGAGCUCCUGCUGCAGGGUGGGGGUUGGAAAGUUUCGGCGGUUGGGGAUGGACUCGCGGCUUAUCAGCUUGUUGGUGGGGUAGUGGCUUACCAAGGCUUUGACGGGUAGCCGGCCUGAGAGGGUGACCGGCGACAUUGGGACUGAGAUACGGCCCAGACUCCUACGGGAGGCAGAAGUGGGGAAUAUUGCACAAUGGGCGGAAGCCUGAUGCAGCAACGCCGCGUGCGGGAUGACGGCCUUCGGGUUGUAAACCGCUUUCGCCUGUGACGAAGCGUGAGUGACGGUAAUGGGUAAAGAAGCACCGGCUAACUACGUG
rnacentral:rRNA from 1 species